AACAAAAAUAAUUAAUAUUAAACCAACAAAAGAAAUCCCUAGAAGCCUAAAGAAAAGGGGGAAAGAUGAGGCCGAUGCCGAUGGAAUUCGUGACGGACCCAGACGACCAAGGUUCAGCCAUGAAAGUCGACGAUGUUGACACACCGGAGAUCUUCGGCGAAGGCGUCGUCGCUUCCAACGAUUUUGAUGACUCCGGUAUCGACAAAAAAACAAAGAAGAAUCGUUUCAAGUCCUCGGGUUCAACUACAUAAUACAAAUUCCACCUCUGCACUUCAUUUUUCCUUCAAAAUAAAGCUUCGAUUUGAUCUCUUUUAGUGAGACAAAUGGCUGAAAAUCUUAUGCAUGCUUUACAAUAUAACAGCUAUGGCGGAGGUGCUGCUGCUUUGAAGGGACUUGAUUUUAUAACGCUGUGAAUUUUUGUGCUUUUUACAGCAUGUUGAAGUUCCGAUCCCAACUCCAAAUAAAGUGGGACGACCAUCCUGCAAUCAUGGAUGUGGGUGUUGUAGAUGGAACUUCAGAAGCCAUUUUCCAGACACUAAUGUCUCUUGGACCCUCAAGAUCAGAAUGGUACUUGUGUGUGUGUUUGAAUGUGGAAGCAUCCUUUGGCCUCUCAGCUUGAACACUGCUGAUAACUGCUUAUCGCAUUGCUUUUAUUUUGAUUUGAUCGGUUUUAUCAUUGUCCUGAUAUAUGCACCAACACAUUUGUGAGAUGUGGCAUAUGAUGCACACUUAAUAUCCUUUUUAAGGAAAGGGAAUGAUAUUGAUAUUAAAAACAAAUAAAUAAAAAGUUAAUCUACAAGGUUAAUGUUUGGCAUUUCUUGCAGGUGGUGGAUAUGUCAUAUCUCCAGUGACUGAAGGAAAACACUCUGUUGUGAAGCACAUGCUUGCAAUUGAUUGGAAAUUCUGGAAAUCUUAUCUUCGAACAUCUGCAGUCAGAUCUAUUACCAUCCGGAUGCUUGAGAGAGUUGCUGCAUUAAGAGAAUUAUUCAAAGCAAAACAUGGAAACUAUCCUACUGCUGAUCUUUCAUCUGGAGAGUUGAUGCGGAAUGUUAGGUUGCAUCAAAGUGAAGAGGAUGGCAUAGUUGAUAUGUGUACGGAAAUAGAGGCUGGAAAACUAAGGAAAAUAUGAAUGAAGCAAUGGAAAGGGCAUCUUCAGAGCACUCAAGUCUGGUAGGUCCAAAUGAUGAUGCUGAUGAAUUCUUUGAUGUUCCAGAACCAAUAGACCACGAUCGAGCAGAAGAUGGAUGGGCUUCUGACUUUGGUCCUGAAGUAUAUUCUCAGGAACACAUGCCCUAUGCCCUAUUUUCGUUUAAGGACCACCAAGGAAAUUCAAACCGAAAGUCGAUUGAUCGGAUGUGUAUGUGGCUUUCAUCGACUACUUUCGAGGCCUUACUAGGAAUUGAAAUGGUGUGCAAAGAGAUUGC